GGCGGAUCUUCAGCUUUUGUUGCAUUCUUCUCCUGCCUCUCUCGGAUGUGUUCAGAAGAUUGAACUUCCGAUCUUACACAAGUCUACGAGCUACGGAGUACCAAUCACAACCUCGCGGUCUCACCUCGUCGGUCACCAUGUCGAAGCAGUCAUCCAACAGGAAAACCAAAGCACGGGAAAGAGGCUGAUGCCAAAGAAUCGCCUCCAGGUCAUUCUCCUGAUCGCCGUCAGUAUCUGGCUCGUAUACCAGCUUGGACAGGCCUGCAGCAAGCGACGGCCGGUUGCAUUGGCCGUGGAGAUCAAUUGCGACAACCGUGUGGAUGGCGAGCUGAUACAGCGCCGCCGGCUGGGCAGGAAGGUAAUCGUCGAACUCGCAGGCAAUGCGUCUCAGAAGGACGCUCCGGGGAUCAGUGGUCACGGCACCGUUUCCGGGAGGGAGUCCAUGCCAGGCAAGGGCGCCAGGGAAGGCCAGAAGGACGAAGACGACGAUGGCUUCUCCAGUUUUGAUUAUGCGAUCUCCAUGGCGAGAAUGGUGCAGAGAGCAAUGGAUUGGACACAAGUGUUGGUCCGGCGAUACCUUCUGUCGGAGUGCAGAAACGAGAGGGUGCUGCGUCUGCUGCCGUUGAAACGGUGACCGGUGCUGCAGACAGUAAUGGCAUGAAUGCAGAGAGUAACAGCUCUAAUGUCAAUUCCGGCUUAACUAUGAAUUGAUCUUCUGUUGUGUCGUUCAGUACCUCGUGAUUGUGCGGACAACUUACAUAUUAAAGAUGUCGCCCGUCACCGCAUCCAGCUGAUUAAAUUGUUUUUCUUCUUGUCCUGAUGGUCUCUCCGCAUUCAUGAGUAUUAUUACCGGACCAGCAGUAAUACUUUUUUUGUGUGUGUGAUAGGCCCAGUAAUAAUACUUGAACGCCAAGGUGCUAUGGGCUUAAAAAGCAUAACAUGGUUCCGUCAGCACAUAAGCACAAAACUACAUUCCGCCGUAACAACAAAAACAAAAGAGAGGGUGAACAUCGAAAGCAUAAAGGAGAAAAAUAUAUAUGGGGAAAGAAUUCCAUUCAGAAAGCAGAAAUACAAGGCAUGGGAAUGUGGUAACCACUGUUUUCUGAAACUGGGAAGACAACAAUUGCUUUUGUAUAUGAUCAUUGAUGUGAAUAAAACAGAAGACACAACAGAGUCAAAUCCUGAUUGUCAACAAGAGUUUUGCCAU